rnacentral:rRNA from 1 species
AUGAACAACAGAAUACUAUCGGGAAGAGACACAGGAGCUUUGACCAGAGGCUAUGUGAAGGAGCUCAAGGUUGCUGUGCCUAAAAAACCGGGGUUUAAAGCUUUUGUGAAUGCAACUUCUCAUAAUGCCAGUGGCUAUUGCAUUGAUAUCUUUGAGGCUGCUGCGAAGAAACUACCACAUGUUCUUCAUUAUGAGUUCAUUGCCGUUGAUGGUUCUUAUGACGAACUAGUACGCAACGUGUCUUCGGGGAACUACGAUGCAGUAGUGGGUGACAUAACUAUAACCGCAGCGCGAGCUGUAGACGUGGACUUCACGAUGCCAUACACUGAGUCAUGCGUGUCACUGCUUGUGCUCACCGAGAAUGACUCCAAGUCAGCAAUUGAAUGGAGCUACACAGCUAGCUUAUCAUCCAUUUUGACUGCAAAGAGGCUCCGGCCCUCAGUGACAGAUCUUGAGCAGCUCCGAUCAAAUGGUGAUUAUAUUGGAUACCAAUCUGGAUCAUUUGUACGUUCUGUCUUGAUAAAAGAAGGCUUCAAUGUCAAUAGGCUAAAGGACUAUCCGAAUAAAGAGGAAUAUGCUAAAGCUUUGAGGAAGGGAUCAAAGAAUGGAGGUGUCUCAGCUAUCGUUGAUGAGAUCCCAUAUAUAACCUCGUUUCUCUCUGACCCUAAAUACAUUAAUGAAUUCCAGAUGGUUAAUCGCAUAUACAAGACACCUGGACUUGGUUUCGUGUUUCCUCAAAAAUCUCCGCUGGUGCAUGAUCUUUCGGUUGCCAUCCUGGACCUUGGGGCUGAGGGCUCACGAAUUGAAAAGAAAUGGUUAGGCACAGAAACACCAUUGCCCAGCUAUGGCAUCCCCAACACGGACGCGGCACCUCUCACUUUGCGAAGUUUCUCUGGUCUCUUCAUCAUCACUGUAUGUAUGUCAGCUCUCAUGCUGUUGAUAAGCAUUGCCAAGUCGGUUCAUGCCAAAUACACCAAAGUGAGGGAUUCUGAUAUGCAGAGUGCCGAUGGAGAUGGCAGAAGUGAAGGCCACAGAGGAUUUGGUCCGCUGCAGAACGACAUGUGCAAUGGGUCUAUGGCUGAUCAACCCCACCAUGAAGCCAGAAAUGAGCAUCCUCAGGGUGUCAGUGGGAUCAGAGAAAGUCCUGGUGAUGUAGAACCCAAUGACUCUGUGCCCGAACACGCCAUCCUAAUCGAGAUGAACACCCGAUGA